AACCCCACAUAAUCAGAACGGGAACACGCCAUUGAGAUAGGUCUCAUUCUAAAAGGAUGGAUUGGUCAUCAUGCCAAGGUCAUGUAUGUGUUUGAACACGGGCCCCUGCAUUGAGCUCUUUACUUGGCUUG